ACGGAGGAUCCGAGCGUUAUCCGGAUUUAUUGGGUUUAAAGGGUGCGCAGGCGGGUAUAUAAGUCAGAUGUGAAAAACCACGGCUCAACUGUGGUCCUGCCUUUGAUACUGUUUGGCUAGAGUAUUGUUGGAGUGGGCGGAAUGUAGGAUGUAGCGGUGAAAUGCUUAGAUAUGCUAAGGAACACCGAUCGUGAAGGCAGCUCCCUGAGCUAUAACUGACGCUCAGGCACGAAAGCAUGGGGAGCAAACAG
rnacentral:rRNA from 1 species